rnacentral:rRNA from 1 species
UACGAAGGGGGCUAGCGUUGCUCGGAAUGACUGGGCGUAAAGGGCGCGUAGGCGGCUUGCACCGUCAGAUGUGAAAUUCCUGGGCUUAACCUGGGGGCUGCAUUUGAUACGUGGGGGCUUGAGUGCGGAAGAGGGUCGUGGAAUUCCCAGUGUAGAGGUGAAAUUCGUAGAUAUUGGGAAGAACACCGGUGGCGAAGGCGGCGACCUGGUCCGUGACUGACGCUGAGGCGCGAAAGCGUGGGGAGCAAACAGG